GAUGGACUCGCGGCCUAUCAGCUUGUUGGUGAGGUAAUGGCUUACCAAGGCGACGACGGGUAGCCGGCCUGAGAGGGUGACCGGCCACACUGGGACUGAGACACGGCCCAGACUCCUACGGGAGGCAGCAGUGGGGAAUAUUGCACAAUGGGCGCAAGCCUGAUGCAGCGACGCCGCGUGAGGGAUGACGGCCUUCGGGUUGUAAACCUCUUUCAGUAGGGAAGAAGCGAAAGUGACGGUACCUGCAGAAGAAGCGCCGGCUAACUACGUGCCAGCAGCCGCGGUAAUACGUAGGGCGCAAGCGUUAUCCGGAAUUAUUGGGCGUAAAGAGCUCGUAGGCGGUUUGUCGCGUCUGCCGUGAAAGUCCGGGGCUCAACUCCGGAUCUGCGGUGGGUACGGGCAGACUAGAGUGAUGUAGGGGAGACUGGAAUUCCUGGUGUAGCGGUGAAAUGCGCAGAUAUCAGGAGGAACACCGAUGGCGAAGGCAGGUCUCUGGGCAUUAACUGACGCUGAGGAGCGAAAGCAUGGGGAGCGAACAGGAUUAGAUACCCUGGUAGUCCAUGCCGUAAACGUUGGGCACUAGGUGUGGGGGACAUUCCACGUUUUCCGCGCCGUAGCUAACGCAUUAAGUGCCCCGC
rnacentral:rRNA from 1 species